UACGUAGGAGGCAAGCGUUGUCCGGAGUUACUGGGCGUAAAGCGCACGCAGGCGGUCCUAUUAGUCUGGGGUGACAGUUCCCGGCUUAACCGGAAAAGGACUCUGGAAACUGUAGGACUUGAGGGCUUCAGAGGGAUGUGGAAUUCCAGGUGGAGUGGUGAAAUGCGUAGAGAUCUGGAAGAACACCAAAGGCGAAGGCAGCAUCCUGGGAAGUUCCUGACGCUCGGGUGCGAAAGCCAGGGGAGCAAACGGG
rnacentral:rRNA from 1 species